GCUCCAAUAGCGUAUAUUAAAGUUGUUGCAGUUAAAAAGCUCGUAGUUGGAUUUGUGGCGUCUUGCGUGGCCAAUUGUUGGUGCUGCUGCGGGGUGCCAUCCUUGGGUGGAUUGUGUGGCAUUAGGUUGUCGCGCAGGGGAUGCCAUCGUUUACUGUGAAAAAAUCAGCGCGUUCAAAGCAGCUUACGCCGUUGAAUGUA
rnacentral:rRNA from 1 species